rnacentral:rRNA from 1 species
CUAUACAUGACUCUGUGCAUAUCAAUAAGCGGAGGAAAAGAAACUAACAAGGAUUCCCCUAGUAACGGCGAGUGAAGCGGGAAGAGCUCAAAUUUGAAAUCUUCAAGGUUCUACCUUGACGAAUUGUAGUUUAUAGAAGUGUUUUCUGUUAGUAGAGUGGUAAAAGUUCUUUGGAAUAGGACAUCAUAGAGGGUGAGAAUCCCGUAUUUGAUCACUUUCUACUAGCUUUGUGAUACACUUUCAAAGAGUCGGAUUGUUUGGGAAUGCAGUCCAAAAUGGGUGGUAAAUUUCAUCUAAAGCUAAAUAUUGGCGAGAGACCGAUAGCGAACAAGUACCGUGAGGGAAAGAUGAAAAGAACUUUGAAAAGAGAGUUAAACAGUACGUGAAAUUGUCAAAAGGGAAGCGUUUGACACCAGUGUUGUUUUUCCGAAAAUCAAUUAUGAAUGCUUUAUUUUAGAGAGUUCAUGACCUUAAUAGGCUUGUUGCUUAUUUUCUUGUAACUUUCUUAAUGCACUUUUCGGUUAACAAGUCAACAUCAAUUUCUUUUGUUGUAAAAGGUUAUGAGGAAGGUGGCUUUACUUUCGGAGUAAAGUGUUUAUAGCCUUGUAGCUCUGCAAUCGGAGAGAUUGAGGUCUGCAGCGUAGAUCCUUCGGGGUUAGAUACAUUUGUGCUAAGUUAUAGCUUUUCAUAGACAACUUGUUGACUAUGUUUAGUCUUGUAGCUUACUCGCUUACUGCUAUUUUACCUACGCUUAGGAUGUUGAUAUGCAUGACUGAUAU